GGCCGGUUAGCUCACUCGGUUGAGCAUAGUGCUAACGACGCUAAGGUUGAGGGUUCGAUUCCCGUUCGGUCC
rnacentral:tRNA from 1 species